rnacentral:lncRNA from 1 species
GGGGUGCUUUAGGAGUGCAAGGAAAUGCAGCUACAAACCCACUGAGCUAUCAGUGCUGUCUGCAUGCUUCUAUGCUGCAAAAUACAACUGAGCAAGUUAAAUUCCACUUCCCUUGAACACGGAAGCCAGCAGUGCAUUUGUCACAUGGUCACAUCAGCAGACCACAACAACAAGAGCAAUCACCUGGUGAAACAAUCCACACAGAGAUUUGGAAGGAAAAUUUCUUUCAGGCAGGUGACACUGGACAUCUGGCAGUCCUCUGCUUCUGUUCUGAGAGUAACACCCACGUUGUAGGGCAUGCUGCCAGAAGCUGCACCCACCUGGGAUAUAGCCAGCCCAAGAUGAAAAGGAGCACCAAAUCCAGAAGGGGUGAUUAGCAUUCACUGAUGUUGUUCAGGACACAAGUAACUGGGAACAUGCUAGUUCCCCUUAGGUGUUCAGUACUGCACGGAAAAGUCAGGGAACUAAGAAAGUUAAUCAGGUCAGAGCCAGGCUUGCAUAUGCUUUCUCCACAGGAAUUACAAACUAUUUGCCAAAUAUUCGGAUUGGGUAAUUGCUACCCGGACUACUAAGGAUAUGCAGCCCAAAAGAAGAUAAUUGCUCAGAGGUUCUGAUAGAUUGCAUCACUCUCGGCCAAAAUAUAUGACAGAAUGAGAAUUAUCAGCACAUAAUGUAAGGAUACAAGUCUGCUCAUACAGCAGAGCUGAGCCCAUCAUGGCUGGCUGAAGCAGAAAAAACAUUAACCCCCCCCAGACUGUUCAUAAGAAGGCAUUAAUUUGAUCCUGAACUCCAGAAGCAUUUGUGGAAUCCAGAGAUUCCCUGAAAUAACCUUCCCUUUCUUAGGACACAGGGGACAAGCAUUUAUCCCUGCUCUCUCUAAAAUGUAAAUUUGACCAAAGCUAAUUUUACCCCAGUGUCUAGCUAUGAGAUCAUUGUUCUGCCAGCAUACAAGUUUAGUCUCACACUGCCACAUAUUUUAUGACCAAAUGCAACUUGGAGCAGAGCCUGUACAGUCCAUCAUGGAUGCUGCUGUGUGAUAAAAAAAAA